rnacentral:tRNA from 1 species
AGAGGGGUACGCUAUUCUCUAAGCGGUUAGGUUCAUACCCUAGAUAAGGAUUAGAUCCCCCCUCUU